AUUGAACGCUGGCGGCAUGCCUUACACAUGCAAGUCGAACGGUAACGCGGGGCAACCUGGCGACGAGUGGCGAACGGGUGAGUAAUGCAUCGGAACGUGCCCAGUAGUGGGGGAUAGCACGGCGAAAGCCGGAUUAAUACCGCAUACGACCUAAGGGUGAAAGGGGGGGAUCGCAAGACCUCUCGCUAUUCGAGCGGCAGAUGUCAGAUUAGGUAGUUGGUGGGGUAAAGGCCUACCAAGCCGACGAUCUGUAGCUGGUCUGAGAGGACGACCAGCCACACUGGGACUGAGACACGGCCCAGACUCCUACGGGAGGCAGCAGUGGGGAAUUUUGGACAAUGGACGCAAGUCUGAUCCAGCCAUGCCGCGUGCGGGAAGAAGGCCUUCGGGUUGUAAACCGCUUUUGUCAGGGAAGAAAUCUUCUGGGUUAAUACCUCGGGAGGAUGACGGUACCUGAAGAAUAAGCACCGGCUAACUACGUGCCAGCAGCCGCAGUAA
rnacentral:rRNA from 1 species